CGUCCGCUCUCUCAGAGUCGAAGAUUUUCGACUGACCCGACCCGAACCCGGCCGAUCCGACCCGGCUUUUCCGGCCAACUGCGGCGGUCUCCGGCCGUGAAACUUGGCCAACAGGAUCGCCUCCUCCGUCUGGUCGUCCCUCUGGUGUUCUCUUACGGCGAUUCUCCGUCUCGGUGGCAGUUCAAGGCGGUGCAGCCUUGUGUUUUCGGACCCGGCCGGAAAACACAACUCCGGCGACCUCAUGACUUCAGGCUUCUUGGGUUGAGUUCAGAACAAGCUCCCUGAUCGAUCCUUGGUGUUUGUUUCGACCGGUUUACGUGAAAAUUCGAUCAACUCGGAUUGGAUUACUGUUCACGGC
rnacentral:lncRNA from 1 species